AUACGUAGGUGACAAGCGUUAUCCGGAAUGAUUGGGCGUAAAGGGCGCGUAGGCGGCCCGGUAAGUCUGGAGUGAAAGUCCUGUUUUUAAGAUGGGAAUUGCUUUGGAUACUGUCGGGCUUGAGUGCAGGAGAGGUAAGUGGAAUUCCCAGUGUAGCGGUGAAAUGCGUAGAGAUUGGGAGGAACACCAGUGGCGAAGGCGACUUACUGGACUGUAACUGACGCUGAGGCGCGAAAGUGUGGGGAGCAAACAGGAUUAGAUACCCUGGUAGUCCACGCUGUAAACGAUGAAUGCUAGGUGUAGGGGGUAUCGACCCCUUCUGUGCCGCAGUCAACACAAUAAGCAUUCCGCCUGGGGAGUACGGUCGCAAGAUUAAAACUCAAAUGAAUUGACGGGG
rnacentral:rRNA from 1 species